GGGGAUGAUCGGUUUCGACGCCGUGACCACUGUUACGAGAAGCGAGUCGAGAACGCGGAGUCAUCUCGUAAACGUUCUCCGCAAAUUAUAAGUGCCGAAUUGAAGCGCACUGAUCACGUUCUCGUUGCAUAACUGAGAGCUUAAGUGAUCCGUCGCCCUAGCCCCUUCCUAGGACUAGAUGCGGCGUAAUUAAUAGGAAUAGCCAUGCAUCAACUCUUCGCGGAUGCAUGGGACACGCAGUGAAGAUGGGCCUGUCGACCUAACAAGCCCUGAAAAGGGUCGGGGCCAAGUAGAACGCAUUAGGGAUACGCUCGUAGAAUGCGUAAUGGUGUAGCGGCGGACCGGGGUUCGAUUCCCCGCAUCUCCACUU
rnacentral:tmRNA from 1 species